GUUAAGAUGCAGCGCUGCAGGAAGUACUCAGAUACUUUACUUCAGUAAAAGUACUAAUACCACACUGUACAAAUACUAUGUAUGAAAGUAUGUAAGUAUAUUCAGGAAAAGGUACUUAAAGUAUUAAAGCAGUAAAAUGUCCUGCUGUUGGCUUCAGACUCAGAUUCAGAUGAUGAAAUGGGGCCUAACAGGGCUGUGAGUCUCUAUAAAGUAGAACCCAGCAUCAUCAUGGAAGAGUGUCCACUGCAGUGGCUGUCACCUCAUGCAGGGGUCCAUCUACAGCUGCCUGCACUGGCUUGCCAAUAUCUGGCCACCCCUGCCACUUCUGUCCCUUCAUCUCAACAGCUCGGUAACAACGUAGCGUGAAGUCAACACCAGACCCAAACUACCGCCUCACCGUCGUCUGCUGAGCUGCAGAAUGAUGAAGAGAUGCUCUGAUGCUAACCUUUCAGUCUGCUACGUUACUGACUGUACUGACAAACUAUAGCUGGCUAGCUGCCUCACUAACACAGCAAACACAUGUGAUAAGCAUGAGUGACGUGGCAGUGGAAGAAGUAUUCAGAUCUUUUACUUAAGUAAAAGUAUCAAUAUGACACUGAAAAUACUCCAUUAGAAGUUAAUUAUUUCCAUAAUUGUUCUUACUGAAACAUUUCAGAUUUUUCAGAAACCAAGCUGCUGAAAAUAAUUUUUUUAAACGUAUUUAUUCAUUUUUACAUCAUUAAUUAAUUUUUUCUUGGGAUUGGGUGGGGAACAAGGGCGAAAUGCUUCACAUUUGAUGUACAGAUUUAUUUUUCUUAUGUAAAUCCCACAUUCUCAUGACUACCACGUAUUUUCAUGUACCAUUAAUAUGUUGGAAAUAAAAACAAUUGUUAGCAAAGUUUUAUUUCUCACCCUUUACACGGCAGUGAGAACGUUCCUAAACAAAUUUUAACACCCCUUUUCCACAGCAGUUGGCUGGCAAAGACAUACAGAUACCAGCUUGACAGAGACCACCACUUUGGCAUUACUGGGAAAUGCAACUUUAAUUAGUAAAAACUGAACUGAAGGCCAAACUCUAGAAUCAGAAUCAGAAUCAGAAAUACUUCAUUGAUCCCUGAGGUGAAACUCUUUCGUUACAGCAGCUCACUGUCAUGUCAGUGCACACAGGAACAGAAGCACUAAGCAAAAAAUAUAAUACACUAUAAAACAGGGUAGAAUCGCCCCUGGUUACCACAAACGUCAAAGAAUCAAAUGGUUUGUAGAGCUUAUAUUAAAACUCUUAAAAUGAAUAAACCAACACCAGUUGGAUUGAUAUUACUUUAAAUGCACAAUAAAAAAACAUGAUUUAUUAAAACAGAGAUUAUAUUAACCCUUCAAUUAUCACUGCUGUAAAAAGAAAAAGAAAACAAUGAAGACAUGUUUUUUUGGAAAGGCCAAACUUGUGUUUCAGUAUACAAAACAAUAUAUGAAA